rnacentral:misc_RNA from 1 species
GAUGAAGAACGCAGCGAAAUGCGAUAAGUAAUGUGAAUUGCAGAACUCAGUGAAUCAUCGAAUCUUUGAACGCACAUUGCGCCCGCUAGUAUUCUGGCGGGCAUGCCUGUCCGAGCGUCAUUUCAACCCUCAAGCCCCCGGGCUUGGUGUUGGGGAUCGGCGAGCCUCCGCGCCCGCCGUCCCCUAAAUCUAGUGGCGGUCUCGCUGUAGCUUCCUCUGCGUAGUAGCACACCUCGCACUGGGAAACAGCGCGGCCACGCCGUUAAACCCCCAACUUCUGAACGUUUGACCUCGGAUCAGGUAGGAAUACCCGCUGAACUUAAGCAUAUCAAUAAGCGGAGGA